rnacentral:rRNA from 1 species
UUUAAAGUCCAAAUCUCCCCUGAAGAUGCUCUAUCUCGUCUGAUCUCAGAAGCUAAGCAGGGUCAGGCCUGGUUAGUACUUGGAUGGGAGACCACCUAGGAAGACCAGGUGCUGAAGGC